GGAAACAGUUUGGGGACACGGUUUGGGGACGCGGUUUGGGGCCGUGGUUUGGGGACACGGUUUGGGGACACGGUUUGGGAACGCGGUUUGGGGGUGUGGUUUGGGGACGCGGUUUGGGGAUGCAGUUUAGGGACAUGGUUUGGGGACACAGACUGGGGACACGGUUUGGGGCCGCGGUUUGGGGGUGCGGUUUGGGGACGUGGUUUGGGGACAUGGUUUGGGGAAACAGUUUGGGGACGCGGUUUGGGGACGCGGUUUGGGGCCGUGGUUUGGGGACACGGUUUGGGGACACGGUUAGAGGCUGCAGUUUAGGGACACAGUUUAGGGACGCGGUUUAGGGACGUGGUUUGGGGCCACGGUUUGGGGCCACGGUUUGGGGACACAUUUUGGGGACACAGUUUAGGGCCGCGUUUUGGGGUGGGUACCUUGGACUCGACGUGGUACGCCACGUAGUGCGCGGUGCAGCGCAGUUUGGGGACACAGUUUAGGGAUGUGGUUUGGGGAUGCGGGACACGUUUUGGGGACACAGUUUGGGGACACAUUUAGGGACACGGUUUGGGGACACAGUUUUUAGGGCCACGUUUUGGGGACAUGUUUUGGGGCCGCGGUACCUUGGACUCGACGUGGUACGCCACAUAGUGCGCGGUGCAGCGCAGUUUGGGGACACAGUUUGGUGCCACGGUUUGGGGAUGCGAGACACGUUUUAGGGACACAUUUUGGGGACACAUUUAGGGACACAGUUUGGGGACACAUUUAGGGACACAUUUAGGGCCACGGUACCUUGGACUCGACGUGGUAGGCCACGUAGUGCGCGGUGCAGCGCAGUUUGGGGACACGGUUUGGGGAUGUGGUUUGGGGAUGCGGGACACGUUUUGGGGACACGAUUUGGGGACACAGUUUUUAGGGCCACGUUUUGGGGACACAUUUGGGGACACAUUUAGGGCCACGGUACCUUGGACUCGACGUGGUAGGCCACGUAGUGCGCGGUGCAGCGCAGUUUGGGGACACGGUUUGGGGAUGCGGGACACAUUUUGGGGCCACGUUUUGGGGACACAGUUUUUAGGGCCACAUUUUGGGGACACAUUUAGGGACACAUUUUGGGGACACAGUUUGGGGAUGCGGGACACAUUUUAGGGACACAGUUUAGGGACACGGUUUGGGGACACAUUUUAGGGACACAUUUUGGGGACACAUUUAGGGCCACGUUUUGGGGCCGUGUUUUGGGGCAGGUACCUUGGACUCGA
rnacentral:lncRNA from 1 species